UAGGGAAUCUUCGGCAAUGGGGGGAACCCUGACCGAGCAACGCCGCGUGAGUGAAGAAGGUUUUCGGAUCGUAAAGCUCUGUUGUUAAGGAAGAACGAGUGUGAGAAUGGGAAGUUCAUGCUGUGACGGUACCUAACCAGAAAGCCACGGCUAACUACGUGCCAGCAGCCGCGGUAAUACGUAGGUGGCAAGCGUUGUCCGGAAUUAUUGGGCGUAAAGCGCGCGCAGGUGGUUUAGAAAGUCUGAUGUGAAAGCCCACGGCUCAACCGUGGAGGGUCAUUGGAAACUAAUAAACUUGAGUGCAGGAGAGAAAAGUGGAAUUCCUAGUGUAGCGGUGAAAUGCGCAGAUAUUAGGAGGAAUACCGGUGGCGAAGGCGACUUUCUGGCCAUAUACUGACGCUGAGGUACGAAAGCGUGGGUAGCAAACAGG
rnacentral:rRNA from 1 species